rnacentral:rRNA from 1 species
CAUCCUCCAAGGCUAAAUACUCCUGACUGACCGAUAGUGAACCAGUACCGUGAGGGAAAGGCGAAAAGAACCCCGGCGAGGGGAGUGAAAAAGAACCUGAAACCGUGUACGUACAAGCAGUGGGAGCACCCUUUGGGGUGUGACUGCGUACCUUUUGUAUAAUGGGUCAGCGACUUAUAUUCUGUAGCAAGGUUAACCGUAUAGGGGAGCCGUAGGGAAACCGAGUCUUAACCGGGCGUUAAGUUGCAGGGUAUAGACCCGAAACCCGGUGAUCUAGCCAUGGGCAGGUUGAAGGUUGGGUAACACUAACUGGAGGACCGAACCGACUAAUGUUGAAAAAUUAGCGGAUGACCUGUGGCUGGGGGUGAAAGGCCAAUCAAACCGGGAGAUAGCUGGUUCUCCCCGAAAGCUAUUUAGGUAGCGCCUCGUGAAUUCAUCUCCGGGGGUAGAGCACUGUUUCGGCUAGGGGGCCAUCCCGGCUUACCAACCCGAUGCAAACUGCGAAUACCGGAGAAUGUUAUCACGGGAGACACACGGCGGGUGCUAACGUCCGUCGUGAAGAGGGAAACAACCCAGACCGCCAGCUAAGGUCCCAAAGUCAUGGUUAAGUGGGAAACGAUGUGGGAAGGCCCAGACAGCCAGGAUGUUGGCUUAGAAGCAGCCAUCAUUUAAAGAAAGCGUAAUAGCUCACUGGUCGAGUCGGCCUGCGCGGAAGAUGUAACGGGGCUAAACCAUGCACCGAAGCUGCGGCAGCGA